CCAGCGGUGGGACUCUGCUGCCUUUCCAACUCUUACCUCCUGAAGCCACCACCACUGCUGCUCCUCAGCUGUACCAGCUGACUUAGAACUUUACAGACUGUUUCUCCAGUGCUUACAGCUUCUGGCCACCUAGAAUGGGAAGAGAGCUGAAGAUUACAUUCUAGAGCCUGCCCCCUUCGAAGAGCAGCAGCCUGGCUUCAGGUGGCUACAGCAGCAGCCUUUACAUCCAGUUUUUUCUCAUGAAGUCUCUUCUGGUUGAGAAGUUACCGAAUUUCAUCAGCCGCUCCAGUGAUUUCCAGAAAAUGAAGAGUCUGAACUUUUCUGGCUGUCUGGAACCUAUAGCUAGAAUUCAGAUAAACAGAAAUAGCUGUGGCCUGCUCAUCUUCUCUCCAUAUUCUGUCUUCUGUGGCUGACAUUACCCAGUUCUGCUUCCCCCCAUGCCCACUGCCCCCACCUUACCCAGUUGGAAAGUUGGAGCUUUGGAGUUGUUUAUAAUCAUAGUCAUGGACUAUUGGAUAUUUGAGCUGAAAGACAGAUGUGUGACUAUUUCCAGAAAUACAGCCUGAUUAUGAUGUUCUCCACAAUCUCUUACUGCUGCUUUUGACAUGAAGAUCAUCUCAUGAAUUGCAUAACAAUAAGCAUUGUUUUUAAACAACUUUAUGGAGAUGUAAUUGACAUAAAAUCUAUUUUAGAUGUAUAAUAUACUGAUGUUUUAAUAAAUUUAUAAUUAUUUAAUCAUCACCACAAUCCAAUUUGAGAACAUUUCCAACAUUCCCCCCAAAUAUUUUAUGCCUGUUUUCAGUGAAUCACUAUUUCUACCCCAUCCCCCAGGUGACCACCAAUAUGCUCUGUCUCUAUUGAUUUGCCUUUUCUAGACAUUUAAAUGGAAUCAUCCAAUGUCUUCUGAAUCUGGCUUCUUUCUCUCAGCAUACUAUGUUUGACUUUUAUCCUUGUUGCAGCAGAUAUCCUUGUUCCUUUUUAUUGCCGAAUACUAUUCCAUUGUUCAUGUGCCAACUGAUAGUUGAAUUAUUUCCAGUCCUUUGCUAUUAUAAAUAACGCUGCUAUGAAUAGUCACAUACAUGUUUUUUUGUGUGUGAAUAUAUGUUUUCAUUUCUUUUGGGCAGAUUCCCAAGAGCAAAAUUGCUGGCUAAGAUGGUAGGCUUUUCUUUAAAAACCACCCAAUUAUUUUUCAACCUGAAAGAUAUACCUGCCUGCCAGCAAUAUGAGAUUCCAGGUUCUCCACAUCCCUGUCAAUACUUACUAUAGUUCGUCUUUUUAAUUAUGCCCUUUCAGUAGGAUCACAAGCCUUCCAUGUUGGCCAGAGUCUUAUUAUAACUUAAAACAGGCCAUUUGAUAUCUAUACAAG
rnacentral:lncRNA from 1 species